AUGAGCUUACCUGCCAUUGGGAUCAUUGGUGCCAUCAAUGAGUGUGCCAGUUUGUUUCAGUCGGCCAAAUCUGUCAUUUCAUCUCUGCACUCCCGAUGGAGUGGCUCACAGGAGCAAAGUCUACAGGGUCGUGUCUUGCAAUUGGAGAGUGACCUACAGCAUCUCUGCGAUACUCUUCCAGCAAUGUAUGACCUCAUUAACGGAGCAGAGUACUGGAGAAGCCACAAACACCGUAUGGCUGUGGCCCAGCUCCUUCGGAGUCUCAAGGAUACCGUGUCCGAUGCAGAGGACCUUAUUGAUGAGUUCAGAUGGUACCAGAUGAAGGUGAAAGUGCAGAGCAAUGCAAGCCAAUCUCCUUUCAUCGAUUUCCUUGAUAAGGUCAUUCAAGGCGACUUCAACAAACUUAAGGAUGUCCAAUUAAGGUUGAAUCAUCUCUCGAGUCAGUUGCAGAAUAUGGGACUUCAUGGAGUUACACAACGUUUUGAUAAAUCAGUUAGGCCAGAGACCACCUCUUUGCCAAAUGAAAGGGAAAUAUUUGGUCGUGAUGAGGAGUUGAAGAAAGCAUUGGGAUUUCUUAAUGUACCAACAAAUUUAAAGCGCAAGAGAGCAACUAGUUCAGUCAAUGCACCAAGGGCAUCGACAAGCAAUCAAUUUAGUAAUGAAUCAAGAAUAUCAGAUCUUCCGGUUUUACCUUUACUUGGAAUUGGCGGUGUUGGAAAGACUACAUUGGCCCAACAUAUCUGUAGCCAUCAACGAGUGAAAUAUCACUUUGAGAUGAUAAUUUGGAUUUGUGUCUCAGAUGACUUUGAUGUGAAGAGGUUAACUAAAGAGGUCAUGCAAUCCUGUACUGGAAAAGAAGAAAAAAAUGAUAAUUUGGAUUCUCUUCAGCGUGCUCUCCAUGACUAUGUGGACAAUAAAAGGUUAUUGAUAGUCCUAGAUGACAUAUGGGAUGAUGCCUUGAAGGAGAAUGGGCAGUGUUGGAAGAGGUUUCUUGCACCUUUUAGAAGCGCCCAAGAGGGAAGUACAAUGUUGGUCACCACUAGAUGCCCAAAGGUUACCGAGGGGGUGCGCACAAUGGAGCCAAUUAAAUUAGAAGGACUAAAGGAUGACGUCUUCUGGAAAUUUUUCAAAUUGUGUGCGUUCGGAUCUGAGGAUUCUGACAAUGACCCUGAGUUGGAGAACAUUGGUAAAGGAAUACUUCCUAAAUUGAAGGGUUCCCCCUUGGCUGCCAAAACCCUGGGACGCAUGUUAAGCAUGGAUCUACAAGCAUCAAAUUGGAAAUUUAUACUUGAGAGUGAACUGUGGACGUUGCCGCAAGGGGAGACUGACAUUUUGCCUGCCCUUCGGUUGAGCUACAUGUAUUUGCCAUUCUAUUUGAAGCAAUGCUUUUCAAUUUGUGCUAUGUAUCCCAAAGAUUACAAAUUUGAGAAGGCAUGCUUAGCUGAAAUUUGGGCAGCAGAAGGCUUUGUGGAACCUCAACAUGAUCUUCCAAUUCAAGAUAUUAGUUGUCAGUAUUUUGAAGACCUGGUAGCACGAUCCUUCUUUCAAGAAGUUAGUGGUGGAUAUGUGAUCCAUGACUUGCUUCAUGACAUGGCACAAAAAGUUUCAGAGCAUGACUGCUUCAUCUUAAGAAAUGAGGGUGACUUUGAUAAAAUUCCUCAAAAUGUUCGUCAUCUGUAUGUACUCCCUAGCAAAGACUUUGAUGAUUGCAACUUGUCAAGACUAUGCAAGUACACGAAGUUGCGCACCUUAAUUUGCAAGAAGAACUUAGGAAUAAACACACGGUGGGUAAUGGACCAAUGGUGUACUGAACUUCCGCGAAUGCGUGUGAUUUCUUGUGCCUACGCAAAUAAGUUACCAGAUAGUAUUGGCAACUGGAAGCAUCUCCGGUAUCUUGAAAUCUCCAAUGCUUGUCCUUUUACGACAAUUCCUUCAACUUUUUGUUGGCUAUAUAAUCUGCAGAUUUUAUAUGCCAAGAAAUGCAAGCUACGAAGCUUGCCAGAAGGCUUUGAUAUGUUGACCAGUUUGCAGAAAUUCGAAUUAUAUGGAUUAACAUAUUGUGUUGGGUGUCACUUGCAUCUUGGUCGACCCACCGAUGCGCAGGGACAAGGAAUUAGGUUAUUAAAGAAUCUGAACCAAUUCCGUGGACACUUGAAGUUAUCUAGUGAUGGCAAGCUAAGCAUACGUGAUGCAACAGAAGCUGAACUGAUGAAAAAGAAAUACAUUGGCGAGUUGAAACUGUGUAUGCGUUCAACUACCCCAUCGGACAAAGCCAAUGAGAUAGAAGUGCUACAAGUUCUGCAACCUCCUACCAGUCUCACUUCUCUGGUCCUCCAGGGUUGUUCCGGUGUCUCGCUCCCAAGAUGGUUUAAGCCGGAAAACUUUCAAAGCUUAAAAUCACUUACUUUUGAAUGUUGUGACGGACUCAAGAGCAUAAAGAUAAAUGCAAAAGGUAUUUUCCUUUCCCUGACUGACCUAACCAUUGGUCGGUGCGACAAUAUCUCCAGCCUAGAACAUUUUUUGCAUCGAGAUUAUAUACCAGCCAUCAAAAUAAUAAGAAUUGAAGAAUGCAAGAGUUUAGAAACAAUACCAGAUGAAGCGUUUGGUAAUUUGCAUUUCCUUGAAGAACUGCACAUGGUCGGUUGUCCAAACCUAGUUUCAAUUGGUGGAGCAAAGGCAGUUGCAAAAGUAAAGAACGUGCAGAUAUCCAAUUGUCCAAAGUUAAAGGAAGCAGAGAUAAUGAAUAGAAGGUUCCGUCUAAGGGACUGGUACGUUGGGUAA
rnacentral:rRNA from 1 species